GGGGAAUAUUGCACAAUGGGGGAAACCCUGAUGCAGCCAUGCCGCGUGUGUGAAGAAGGCCUUCGGGUUGUAAAGCACUUUCAGUAGGGAGGAAAGGUUGACGGUUAAUACCCGUUAGCUGUGACGUUACCUACAGAAGAAGGACCGGCUAACUCCGUGCCAGCAGCCGCGGUAAUACGGAGGGUCCGAGCGUUAAUCGGAAUUACUGGGCGUAAAGCGUGCGCAGGCGGUUUGUUAAGCGAGAUGUGAAAGCCCCGGGCUCAACCUGGGAAUUGCAUUUUGAACUGGCAAACUAGAGUCUUGUAGAGGGGGGUAGAAUUUCAGGUGUAGCGGUGAAAUGCGUAGAGAUCUGAAGGAAUACCGGUGGCGAAGGCGGCCCCCUGGACAAAGACUGACGCUCAUGCACGAAAGCGUGGGGAGCAAACAGGAUUAGAUACCCUGGUAGUCCACGCCGUAAACGAUGUCUACUCGGAGUUUGGUGUCUUGAACACUGGGCUCUCAAGCUAACGCAUUAAGUAGACCGCCUGGGG
rnacentral:rRNA from 1 species